UCUCUUUUUUUUUAUCUUGAUCCAUUAUUUCAAUAACAUCUUCUAUCUUGAUUUGAAUGUAUUUUUUUGGAUUCAGUAUUAGUUUGAAGAAACGUUCUUAGAUAUGUGCUUGUUAUUAAACUGCUUGUUAAUUUCAUGUUUCAAGUCUAGCAUGUUGGUGUUUAACUAGCACAGAAUUAAGUUAAUAAUAAUAAACAAAUGAUUUUGGCCUCUCAAACUAAUUGUUAAAACAGAACUGCUAUAUGAAGAACUGCUAUGAGAAGAAUCUUUUCAUGUUACCAUCUGUAAAGCAUGUUUAUAUCUAGAAAGGAUAGCCUAUUAAUUACUCCGGCGGUCCAAAUUUAUGCGGCACCUUUCGAAUUUCUAGAUUAAAAAAAAGUCUUUAUUUGGCCGUAAUUAUGUCAUAUUCUUUUAAAUAUUUUAAAUUGUCAUUCCUUGUGACUUUUAGUACUUUUUAUUUAGUUUUCAAAUAUGUAAAUUUUAUUUUAAAAAAAUUAAAGAUUUCAUGUCCUGACUUCACUAUCAAAAUUAAACCGUUUGACCUUCGAAAUUCGAAGUGUGCCACAUAAAUUGGGACAGAGUGAGUAGUUUAACUUAGAAGAUAGAAUUUUCAAGGUCUAAGCAAUAAGCUUCAAAUUUUGAAGAUAAAAAUAUAGCUUCAGUUUCUUGCUCAAAACUUAGCAAAUCUAUGAAUGUUUAACGAUGAGCUUAUCUACACAGUUAGCAUUGGUGGCCUUACGUUUACUGAGAUUAGGAUAUAAAGCAAAUGAUGCAUGCUCAUUUUCUGUUGGUUCACAGGUUGUAUCUUAAUGUAUUAUAAUAAAUUUGUAGAUUUGGUCUUAACAUUUAAAUGGAAUUGAUAUCUCAAUACCUUGAAUGGAAUUGCAAAAUAUCUCGGAAGAGUAGCAUGUAUGGCCACAACAACAACAACAACAACAACAACCCAGUGAAAUCCCACAUCGUGGGGUCUGGGGAGGGUAGAGUGUACGCAGACCUUACUCCUACCAAGGUAGGACGGCUGUUUCCGAAAGACCCUCGGCUCAAGAAAAGCAUAAAAGCAUAAAAAAAGUCAGAUAAGGCUAAGAGAUUCAAAAGUCAGUAGCAUGUAUGACCAAGUUUGUAAAAUCAAUUUAUUUUGAGAAGGGCUUUUCAAAAAGGUACUUUUGGCCAAAAGUAGUUCAUAUUUGGUCAAUUAAUUUAAAAAGUACUUUUUGAGCAGGAAUUAGUGUUUAGCCAAGCUUUUAAAAAGGGUUUCUAUUUUUCUCAAAAGUGCUUUUGGGCAAAAGCUAUCUUUUUUAGCUUCUGAAAAACUGCUUCUGCUACUCUCCAAAAACACUUAUUUUCUCCCAAAAGCUUGGUCAAACACCUCAUUUUUUAAAAUAAUCACUUAUUGGAAAAAAUAAGCUUGGCCAAACAGGCUAGAAGGCUGUUCUAGGGUUGAUGGCGAGGCAAACACUAUGAUUGAUAAGCUCAUUGGAGAAACAGAAGGAGACUACCGAAACCAACCGAAACCACCAAUCUCUGGCUGCUAUGACGACAUUUUCUUUCAACUUUAGGAUUUCAAUGGAAUUGAUUUGUGAAUAUUUGCAUUGAAAAAUAAGUGGCGACAUAUUUUUGCCGAGUGGUUAUCAUGAUCCUAUAGCCGUGGUUAUUCAUACAACCAAAGACCUUAUGGAAUCUGACCCUCUCUCAAACCCAGUUAGAGUGGAGCGAAUGGACUAAAGCUGAAGAAAUCCAUUCCCUUGAAGUUCUAAAGUUGCAAGAAAAUGCUUUGAGAUUGGUGGGUUCAAUAGGCUCCUAGUCUUGUGGAUCACAGGACAAACUUGGAGGGCUUCAAAUCGCAACUUUUCUGGGCUCAAGCGACUAUGUUUUGUUGGCUUCUUGAAUGUGUCUCAAGAAGCCUGGCUGAUAACCCACUUUUCAAGAUACGAAACCGGGAAAUACCACAAGAGCAGUCAGUCAGGUCAGUAAGAAAAAUAGAGGAGAAGAAACUGGAAUAUUUCCUCCCGGUGGUGCUCUUGAUUUUUCUUUUGCGAUGCAGUGAUACUUGACACUUGACAGGUUUAGCAGGCUGUCAGGUGCAGGACGGUCAACGUGCGAGUUAGAGUUCCUGCAGCUUUCUACUUUUGGUGGGCCCACUUUUGCACUCGUGGAUCAUCUAUUUCAGUUGUAUACUUUUGUAUAGUGCGGGAUGACCUCGUAACUUUAUUAUUUCAUUCGUAGCGUCAUAGAGGCUCCAUAGAGACUUUGUAUUAUUUUGGGCAGUGGGUACUCAUAUGGCAUAGCAAAUGACAUUUCUACUUAUGUUUACUUUACGUUUUGAUGUGUACUUUGAUCGUGAAGGGAGUUAUUUUAUUUUGUCUCA